AAGGAGCACAGAGCUACCCAACGAACUUUGUCAGGUGUUGCAUGGUUAUAAAAAGCUAAUUUCAUUGAAGAUGCAGAUGUGAAGCUUGUUUUCUCCAGAUCAACAAGUGUCUUUAGAAGCAGAACUACCCUUUUGAGUUUUGGUUAGAUAAAGCUGUUGUUGAACCAUCCAUUGAUGAUCACGACAAUCCCAAGGCACUAUCAGUCUUUAAACAACAGGCUUUUCAGAUUCUUAUAUGCUGCUUUAUGUUCUCGCAAAGACUUAAUCCGAGUUUGAAACAAAUUCUUAACACCUAUAUGAAGCAACUGCAAUUCAGAUCCCAAAUUUUAUGUUCUGUAUCAGGCAACCAAAAGUGGCUAUGGAAUUGUAGUUAGGGCUUUAACUGCAAUAAGGGCUUAUGAUGGUUGUGUACCAGAGACAACACUAACUGAUAAAAUUUUGAAGGCACUUGAUCUUGCUUCUCGAGAUGAACUCAUUGGAAUUUGGUGUGGUUAUUAAGUUUUUGCUGGUUUGUUUUCUAGGAAUCUACCAGCUAUUUGGAGACAUAUUUGGUUACAUCGUGUCUCUUCUUGUUUGGUAAUUUUGUUUAAUGGUCAUAUGAGUUUCCAGGAUUUCAUCAUAUGGUGGAGCAAUAUGAAAAAGUAGGUUUUAGAAACAGUAUUUUCCAAAUCAUAUCUCAGUUGAUCAUGUGAAGAAUGCCAUAUUAUUUGGUUAUUUGGAUUUUGAAUUAAAUGGAAGAAUAAGAGAAAGCUGCAUUGAAGAUGUGAAGCUUGUUUCCUCCAGAUCAACAAGAGUCUUCUGAAGCAGCAUUACACUUUAAGUCUUGAUCAAAUAAAGCUAUUGUUGAACCAGUCCUAAAUGAUUUUGACGAUUCUGAGAUGGCACUCCAACUUCAAAUAGAAGGUCUCGACUCUCUAUUUCCAAACCUUCCUGGCAUGUCUCCAAGGAAAAUAUCUCCAACAUAAUGUUUUUCUCUUGUUGAGAAACUUGUCAAAGGCAAGCAAAUUCUCUACCUAGUUCAUACUGUAGAGUUUUACAAUUUGCUAAUUCAUGUCUUUACAGAAUUUGUGUUUUUUUAUUCAACAGGAUGAAUUUUAGCUCAAAUAUGGGUAAAAGCUAGCAUGCAAUUGUUGGAAAGCGUUUAUACCCUUGCAAAACUCAUGCAACACAACUUUUAACCAUCAAGACACAGUAACUUGUAAAAUUGAAGUUCAAAUAUUAGUGAAAGCUAUUAUUUAAAUGUUUAGCUUUCAGGCACUAGAAAACAGUUCGGAAUUUGUUAGGAAUCUGAUGAUGCUAGAUAUAGGUGCAUAUGAAUUGUUUCCGGAUUGUUCAAAGAGAAGCUGCCUAAUCUCUAACAAGGCCACUGAUGAAUAAUUACAUGAAGACAAAACCAAUGGAACACUUCACACAUACGAGCUUUGUGUACCUAAAGAGGGGAGUGUGAAAAUUAACGAUCAGAUUUGGGAUGCUUUUUUGCAAUGGUUUCAAUCUCCAUUUCACCAAUCUCUAUUACAUUAUGUGGCGACAUAUCAAGGCGAUUAUUAGUCCUAAAGAGGUUUUGCUUCGUGAUCCACUUGAAACAAAUCCUUGACACCUAUAUGAAGCCGCUGCAAUUUAGAUCCCAAAUUUUAUGUUCUGUAUCAAGCAACCAAAAGUGGCUAUGGAAUUGUAGUUAGGGCUUUAACUGCAAUAAGGGCUUCUGAUGGCCGUGUACCAAAGACAACACUAACUAAUAAAAUUUUGAAGGCACUUGAUCUUGCUUCUCGAGAUGAACUCAUUGGGAACCUACCUGCAAUUUGGAGACAUAUGGGAGAUUGAAAAUGGGUUUGCUUGUAUCUACUUUGAAAUUUAGUUAUUUUUGAUCUUUGGUUACUAGGUGAUGUGUCUCUUCUUGUUUGGUAAUUUUGUCUAAUGGUCAUAUGACUUUCCAGGAUUUCAUUAUACGGUGGAGCACUAUGAAAAAAUAAGUUAUAGAAACAGUAUUUUCCAAAUCAUAUCUCAGUUGUUCAUGUGAAGAAUGCCAUAUUAUUUGGUUAUAUGGAUUUUGAAUCGGAUGAAAGAAUAAACUAGAUCAUUCUUGCUUCGAAGCAAAAGAGGGAGAUCAUAAAAAAGAAAUUUAUUGUGUGAAGUGUGAAUAAGAGAAGCUGAGAAAGAUGCAUUGAAGAUGUGAAGCUUGUUUCCUCCAAAUCAACAAGAGGCUUCUGCAGCAUUAUUACACUUUGAGUCUUGGUCAAAUAAAGCUGUUAUUGAACCAUCCCUUAAUGAUCAUGACGAUCAUGAGAUGGCACUCCAACUUUAAAUAGAAGGUCUCGACUCUCUAUUUCCAAACUUUCUUGGCAUGUCUCCAAGGAAAAUAUCUCCAACACAAUGUUUUUCUCUUGCCGGAUGAUUUUUAGCUCAAAUAUGGGUAAAAGCUAGCAUGCAGUUGUUCAACUUUUAACCAUAAAGACACAACUUCUUAUAAAAUUAAAGUUCAAAUAUUAGUGAAAGCUAUUAUUUAAAUGUUUUAGCUUCCAGGCACUAGAAAACUGUUUGGAAUUUGUUUGGUAUCCAGAGACGCUAGAUAUAGGUGCAUAUGAAUUGUUCCCGCGAUUGUUCAAAAAGAGGCUGCCUAAUCUCUAGCAAGGUCACUGAUGAACAAGUACAUGAAGACAAAACCAAAGGAACACUUCAUACAUACGAGAUCUGUGUACCUAAAGAGUGAAAGUUGACGAUCAGAUUUGGGAUGAAGUUUUGCAAUGGUUUCAAUUUCCAUUUCACUAAUCUCUAUUACGUUAUGUGGCGGCAUAUCAAGGCGAUUAUUAGUCCUAAAGAGGUUUUGCUUCGCGAUCCACUUGAUGAAAAUGUUAUUCCUACAGUUGAUGAGCUUCUGUUAAAUCUCAUUCUUCUAGUCUAGCAUCACAAUGAUGAACAAAGGAAACUACCAGUUGCUUGGAGAUCUGUGGGAGAUUGAAAAAUGGGUUUGAUUAAGUCUACCACUUCGAGAUUUAGAGUUUUUUUUUCCCUUUUGAUCUUUGGUUAUGAGGUGUCUUGUCUCUACUUGUUUUUGUUUGAUGGUUAUUUGACUUUCCAAAUCAUAUCUCAGUUGAUCAUGUGAAGAAUGUCAUAUAUUUAGUAAUAUGGAUCUUGAAUCGGAUGAAAUGCGAGAUUGUGGAUAAGGAACAUAAGGGACAUCUUGCUCGUAAAUCAAUUAUUGAGAAGAGGAAGGAAGGAAGAAGAAUUCCAACUACUGGAAAUGAUACAAAGGGAGUUAUCAAGGAGGCUGCAACAACAGAGGAAAAGAGAAGAAGCAGAGCAAAAGAGGCAUGCUCUUGAACUUGAGCGAAGGAAAAAGAACGAAAGGAUCCUUCAAGAAAUAUUAUAUAUUUGAUAGACGGGAGAAGAAGUAAGAGAAAAGAGUUAUUCAAAAGCGAUUAGUGGAAGAGACGGCCUCAAAAGGAGACAAUGUCAUCAUGGGGACCUCAAAAGGAAGAAUAGGUUGUCUCGGAUACUUAAAUACAAGAUAAAUUUUCAAGAGUUAUGGGAAAGGUCGGAAAUAAUAAAUUAGAUGAAAUUGUAUGAAAAAGAAAAUCUAUUAUGUGAAGUGUAAAAAGGAGAGGCUAAGAAAGCUGCAUUGUUGGAAUCCCGAAAGCAUGAAGAGGCUGAGAGACUAAGAAAAGUAGAUGAAAUUGCUGAGAAAUAGAGGCAAAGAAAGAGAGGGAGAGAGAGAGAUAAAGUGUUCAGCAUGCAGGCAUUAAGAAAUGUUCACUUUAUAUCUGUUUCUCAUCUUCCACGCACUAAGUCUUUAAACAGCAGACUUAUCAUAUUCUGAUUUGAUGUUCGCAAAGACACCUAUUCAGAUCCCAAGUUUAUGUUCUGUAUCAGGCAACCAAGAGGAGUUUCAAAGAAAUUGUUCAGAUCAUAAGAUUAAACUAUCAAAGAUUGAUUUUUGUCAAAAACACUCAGAUUGAUCAUUUAUGUCUUUCUCGCGUUUGCUCAGAGACAGUAGGAAAUGUCAUUAUCUUACACUGUCUACUACAUACUAUAGUAGUUUGGUUAAUGGUUUUAAUCUUCACGCCAGGAACAAACAUAACGAUAAGUGCUCUUUCUUCUUUUUAAAUUUAAAUUAUAUAUUUUGAUGUAUAACUGUGAAGUUUGCUUGUAUCGUUAUUGAAUUGUAUGCUUAUUAUUUUACCAAGUAAAAGAUUAACAAAUUUUUAAAAUAAUAUGAUUGUUUUAGAAGGUAUAUAAAUGGGGUUAAUGACACAUUUGUCUCUAUUUUAUUAAUUAUUUCUCAUUUUGGCCCCUAUUUUUCUAAUUUUCUGAUUUUGUGCCUUAUAACUCGCGGAACUGUUCCGCGAUUUAUGCAACUCGCAGAACAGUUCCGCGAGUUAUCCUACGUGGCUCCAAGCUGGCCAGUCAGCAAGGAGCCACAUGGAUAAAGUAACUCGCGGAACACUUCCGCGAGUUACUUUAUACAUGUCCACGUAGGACAAAAGUAACUCGCGGAAGUCUUCCGCGAGUUACUUUAUCCAUGUGGCUCCUCACUGACUGAGCCACGUAGGACAACUCGCGGAAGUGUUCCGCGAGUUACACAACUCGCGGAAGUGUUCCGCGAGUUGCAAGACACAAAAUUAGAAAAUCGUGAUUUUAGGGGUUAAAAUGAGAAAUAAUUAACAAAAAGAAGACACAAAUGUCAUUAUCCCAUAUAAAUGUUUGUUUUUUAAUCAAAUGGUGAAAGCUUUCAAAAUUUGCAUCUGUUAUUAUCUUUUUUGUACAACUAGGGUUAGGAAUAGGGUUUUAGUAUAUUUAGGAUUUAGGAUUUAGGUUUAGGAUUAUGGUUUAAGGUUAAAUGUUUAGGGUUAGGUUGUAAGAUUAAGGUUUAAGGUUUAGUAUUUUUGGGAUUAGGUUUCAAGGGUUGCUAUAUUUUGGGUUAGAAUUUGGGUUUAAAAUUGAAGGUAUUAGCUAGGGUUUAGUAUAUUAGGAUUAGGGUAGGUAAAUUCAACUUUUUCCAACUGGCAUCACUCUUUUUGUGCAGUUGCUACCUUUGAAUUUUAUAGUCGCUAUUUCUAACUCGCAUGUGCUCAUCUCUUAGUGUAGAAUGGACUGCCGAUCUGUAGAUGGUGCAAGGGUAUUGCAUUCAAUUGUUACAGCUAAUUUCACUGAAGAUGCAAAUGUGAAGCUUGUUUCCUCCGGAUCAGCAAGUGUCUUCUGAAGCAGAAUUUCCAUUUUAAGUCUUGUUCAGAUAAAGCUGAUUUUGAACCAUCUCACUCCAAUAGACCAAUACAAUUCAGCUUCAUGCCACCUCAGCUUAACAUGUUGUUAAAGAAUAAAAGAUGUUUAUUUUUGUAGAGUUUAUUAAAGGCAUUUAUAUCUUUUUCUCUGAUUUCUCAA